rnacentral:rRNA from 1 species
UGGGGAAUUUUGGACAAUGGGCGAAAGCCUGAUCCAGCAAUGCCGCGUGUGUGAAGAAGGCCUUCGGGUUGUAAAGCACUUUUGUCCGGAAAGAAAUCCUUGGCUCUAAUACAGUCGGGGGAUGACGGUACCGGAAGAAUAAGCACCGGCUAACUACGUGCCAGCAGCCGCGGUAAUACGUAGGGUGCAAGCGUUAAUCGGAAUUACUGGGCGUAAAGCGUGCGCAGGCGGUUUGCUAAGACCGAUGUGAAAUCCCCGGGCUCAACCUGGGAACUGCAUUGGUGACUGGCAGGCUAGAGUAUGGCAGAGGGGGGUAGAAUUCCACGUGUAGCAGUGAAAUGCGUAGAGAUGUGGAGGAAUACCGAUGGCGAAGGCAGCCCCCUGGGCCAAUACUGACGCUCAUGCACGAAAGCGUGGGGAGCAAACAGGAUUAGAUACCCUGGUAGUCCACGCCCUAAACGAUGUCAACUAGUUGUUGGGGACUUCAUUUCCUUAGUAACGUAGCUAACGCGUGAAGUUGACCGCCUGGGGAGUACGGUCGCAAGAUU